UAUACCCGGAACGAUAACACGGGGUUGUUUCCACGGGGACUGUUCUAAUUGCGCACACUGGGAGUUGGAGGGCUUUGGAGACAGAACAGCUAAAUGUGUUUCAGAAAAAAGCUGGAUUGCUCAAUCUGGAUGAGGAGGGAGCCGCUGCCACAAGUAAAGGAGUUCAGACAUUUGAACUCAUCUGAAUCAUACGGCUAAAGAAAGACUCAAAAAUAUCUUCAUUUGGUGCUAAUUGUGGAUGCAGGUUUUCAAAUUUAGCAUAGGGAGUUUUGUGUGUCAUAUCAGUCGGGUAGUAAAAAAAAUGAAAAUCAACCUGCUGCUAUCAUUCAAGAUUCAAAGUUUCUAAGAACAGCAGUUGUCAACACAGCCUCACUUAAAGAAUGUCCUCAUCUAAUAAAUAAAUAUGAAUGUCAAGAUUUCUUUGACAAGUGACUAACUCCAACUGCUGAUGAAGAUCCUGGUAUGUUAUCAAAAGCUCUGGGACAGCUAAUGGGUCAUAUUCAUAAUCAAAAGGGCUCGCUCAGUGUUUGGCAUUACCCCAGACUACAUUGAGGUCAAAAGAGCAAGGUCUGAAAUGUAAUACUACAAACUAACUGUGUAUUUUGAAGGCCAUGUAUUAUGCAGCCUCAGUAGCGUAUAAAGUUAUCAAAUUAGGAUGCCUCCAUGCUAUACCAAGCAAAUCUGAAGGUGUUUUGUUCCAGAAAUGGUCAGUUUUUUAAAUAAAGACUUGUUUUUUACA